rnacentral:rRNA from 1 species
GACGAACGCUGGCGGCGCGCUUAACACAUGCAAGUCGAACGGAAAGGCCUGCUUUCCCUUGUGGAUUGCAGGUACUCGAGUGGCGAACGGGUGAGUAACACGUGAGUGAUCUGCCCCCAACUUGGGUAUAAGCCUGGGAAACUGGGUCUAAUUCCCGAUAGGACUGCAGGGUGGUGCCUGUGGUGGAAAACGAUUUUCUAGUGGUUGGGGAUGAGCUCGCGGCCUAUCAGCUUGUUGGUGGGGUAAUGGCCUACCAAGGCGGCGACGGGUAGCCGGACUGAGAGGGUGGACGGCCACAGUGGGACUGAGAUACGGCCCAGACUCCUACGGGAGGCAGCAGUGGGGAAUAUUACACAAUGGGCGGAAGCCUGAUGCAGCGACGCCGCGUGGGGGAUGACGGCCUUCGGGUUGUAAACUCCUUUCGACCGAGAGGAAGCCACCUGGUUGGAAGGGUGGUGACGGUAGUGGUAGAAGAAGCACCGGCUAACUACGUG